UGCCAUAAUUUCAACCAAAUUCCUAGGCCGCUCAAUUGAAUGGGGCAAGAUGAUCUCAUCGAGGUCUACACCAUCGUCGUCUAUACAUACUGCUAACAGCAAAUACAUAUUCCAUACAUAAAAGACAGAUGAAAUGAUUUAUGAGUUUUUGUUUGGGGAGCUGACUACUCAAGCAGUGAUGGCAUGAAUUCUGGCUCAAUGAAUAUUAUCAGAGGUUUUUAAUCAAAAUUUGGGUUCAUCAUCAGCUCUACCAACUACAACAAGGGACACCAUUUUGUUGGUUCAUGGAUCGUCAUUGGAUAAAUAUUCCAAAUAAACUUUCAGCAGAAUAUGCUGCUGGAAUGAAUGAAUUCAUUAGUGUUGCAAGAC